GACGUAGGAGGCGAGCGUUUGUCCGGAUUCAUUGGGCGUAAAGAGCGCGCAGGCGGCUUGGUAAGUCGGAUGUGAAAUCCCGAGGCUCAACCUCGGGUCUGCAUCCGAUACUGCCCGGCUAGAGGUAGGUAGGGGAGAUCGGAAUUCCUGGUGUAGCGGUGAAAUGCGCAGAUAUCAGGAGGAACACCGGUGGCGAAGGCGGUUCUCUGGGCCUGUACUGACGCUGAGGAACGAAAGCGUGGGGAGCGAACAGG
rnacentral:rRNA from 1 species